ACCACAAACUGAUCGACCAAUCCACCCAGGAAAUCGUGGAAACCGCGAAACGUACUGGUGCUCAAGUGCGUGGUCCAAUUCCACUGCCUACCCGUAAAGAGCGGUUCACCGUUCUGGUCUCCCCGCACGUCAACAAAGACGCGCGUGACCAGUACGAGAUCCGUACUCAUAAGCGCGUGCUGGACAUCGUCCUGCCAACGGAUAAAACCGUUGAUGCACUUAUGAAGCUUGAUCUGGCGGCCGGUGUGGAAGUACAGAUCAGCCUCGGCUAAGACUUGGGUCUUAGUCGUGUAACGCUCUGAAAUGGGCGGCCAUAGCGGGUGAAAGCCCCGUACACUCAUGAGGUUUACAACAUGACUAUUGGUGUAGUCGGUCGUAAAUGCGGUAUGACCCGUAUUUUCACCGAAGAAGGUGUCUCCAUUCCGGUCACGGUCAUUGAGAUCGAACCGAAUCGCGUCACCCAGUUUAAAACUGAAGAAACCGAUGGCUAUCGUGCAGUGCAAGUCACUGUCGGCGAGCGUCGUGCUUCGCGUGUGACUGCUGCUCAAGCAGGCCACUUCGCUAAAGCAAACGUUGCAGCUGGUCGUACUGUCAUGGAGUUCCGUCUUGAAGACGGCGACUACCAGGCUGGCGAUCUGAUCAACGCUGAAAUCUUCGCCGCUGGUCAACUGGUUGAUGUAACCGGUCAGUCCAAAGGUAAAGGCUUCCAGGGUACGAUCAAGCGUUGGAAUUUCCGUGGCCAAGACAACACUCACGGUAACUCCGUUUCCCACCGCGUCCCGGGCUCUAUUGGCCAGUGCCAGACUCCUGGUCGUGUAUUCAAGGGCAAAAAAAUGUCCGGUCAUAUGGGCGCUGAGCGCGUGACCGUGCAGUCCCUCGAAGUAGUGCGCGUCGACGCUGAACGCAAUCUGUUGUUGGUCAAGGGUGCUGUUCCUGGCGCUACUGGCGGCAACCUGGUUGUACGUCCAGCGGCCAAGGCUCGCGGUUAAGGGGAAGCUGACAUGCAAUUAAAUGUAAAUGACGCUCAAGCGAUCGAAGUUUCCGAACUGACAUUUGGCGGCGAAUUCAACGAGACGCUGGUUCACCAAGCAGUCGUGGCCUACAUGGCCGGCGGCCGUCAAGGUAGCAAGCAGCAAAAGACCCGUUCCGACGUUCGUGGUGGCGGUAAGCGCCCUUGGCGUCAGAAAGGUACUGGCCGUGCUCGUGCCGGUACUAUCCGUAGCCCAAUCUGGCGUGGCGGCGGUACCACUUUCGCAGCACGUCCACAGGAUCAUACCCAGAAGCUCAACAAGAAGAUGUAUCGCGCAGCACUGCGCUCCAUCCUUGCUGAACUCGUGCGUACUGAUCGUCUGGUCGUGGUUCAGGACUUCGCUGUUGAAGCGCCGAAAACCAAAGAUCUGCUGAACAAGCUGAACGGCAUGGGCCUGACUGACGUCCUGAUCGUGUCUGAAGCUGUUGAUCAGAACCUGUACCUGGCUGCUCGCAACCUGCCACACGUUGAUGUACGUGACGUGCAAGGUUCCGAUCCAGUUAGUCUGAUCGCAUACGACAAGGUGUUGAUCACCGUGUCGGCCGUGAAGAAAUUCGAGGAGCUGCUGGGAUGAACCAGGAACGCGUAUUUAAAGUUCUGCUUGGCCCGCACGUUUCCGAAAAGGCUACGGUUCUGGCUGACAAGAAAGGCCAGUUCGUUUUCAAGGUUGCAACUGACGCAACCAAGCUGGAAAUCAAGAAGGCCGUCGAAAGCCUGUUCAGCGUGAAAGUAGAGCGUGUUACUACCCUGAAUGUUCUGGGUAAGAGCAAGCGCACUGCUCGCGGUCUGGGCAAGCGUAAUGACUGGAAGAAGGCAGUUAUCUCCCUUCAGCCAGGCCAAGAUCUCGAUUUCAGCAGCAGUGCUGAGUAAGGAAGGGGUGCAUCAUGGCAAUCGUUAAAUGCAAACCGACUUCCCCUGGCCGCCGUUUUGUGGUCAAGGUGGUCAACCAGGAGCUGCAUAAAGGCGCUCCUCACGCACCGCUGCUCGAGAAGAAAUCGAAGACUGGUGGUCGUAACAACAAUGGUCGUAUUACCACUCGUCACAUCGGUGGUGGCCAUAAGCAGCAUUAUCGUCUGGUCGACUUCCGUCGCAACGACAAAGAUGGCAUUGCUGCCACUGUCGAGCGUAUCGAAUACGAUCCAAACCGUACUGCUCACAUCGCUCUGCUGCUGUACGCAGAUGGCGAGCGUCGCUACAUCAUCGCCCCUAAAGGCGUGAGUGCUGGUGACCAGCUGAUCGCAGGUGCUUUGGCACCGAUCAAGCCGGGCAACGCUCUGCAACUGCGCAACAUUCCAGUUGGUAGCACCGUACACGGCAUCGAAUUGAAGCCGGGUAAAGGCGCGCAAAUCGCUCGUUCCGCUGGUGCUUCGGCUCAGCUGAUCGCUCGUGAAGGUGUCUACGUGACCCUGCGUCUGCGCUCUGGUGAAAUGCGUAAAGUACUGGCUGAAUGCCGUGCGACCCUGGGCGAAGUCUCGAACUCCGAGCACAGCCUGCGUUCGCUGGGUAAAGCUGGUGCCAAACGCUGGCGUGGCGUUCGCCCAACCGUUCGUGGUGUUGCCAUGAACCCGGUUGACCACCCACACGGUGGUGGUGAAGGUCGUACCUCUGGUGGUCGUCAUCCGGUAUCGCCAUGGGGCUUCCCGACUAAGGGCGCGAAGACUCGUGGUAAUAAGCGUACCGACAAAAUGAUCGUCCGUCGUCGCAAGUAAAUAGAGGGAUACGACAGUGCCACGUUCUCUGAAAAAAGGUCCUUUUAUUGAUCUUCACCUACUGAAGAAGAUCGAAGUGGCGGCGGAAAAGAACGAUCGCAAACCGGUGAAAACCUGGUCGCGUCGUUCGAUGAUCCUGCCACAAAUGGUCGGUCUGACCAUU
rnacentral:rRNA from 1 species